rnacentral:rRNA from 1 species
GUACACGCUGUGACUAGCAUAUCAAUAAGCGGAGGAAAAGAAACUAACAAGGAUUCCCCUAGUAACGGCGAGUGAAGCAGGAAGAGCUCAAAUUUGAAAUCUUAAAGGGUUUCCCUUUACGAAUUGUAGUUUAAAGAAGUGUUUUCUGUUGAGGUUUUGGUAAAAGUUCUUUGGAAUAGGACAUCAUAGAGGGUGAGAAUCCCGUAUUUGACCUUUACUUUCAACUUUGUGAUACACUUUCAAAGAGUCGGAUUGUUUGGGAAUGCAGUCCAAAAUGGGUGGUAAAUUUCAUCUAAAGCUAAAUAUUGGCGAGAGACCGAUAGCGAACAAGUACCGUGAGGGAAAGAUGAAAAGAACUUUGAAAAGAGAGUUAAACAGUACGUGAAAUUGUCAAAAGGGAAGCGUUUGACACCAGUGUUGUUUUUCUGAAAAUCAAUUAAAGAACUGUUUAUGCUAAGUUGUUUAGACUUUAUCAGCUAACUGUUUAGCUUUGAGCUUUUCUUUAAUGCACUUUUCAGUUAACAAGUCAACAUCAAUUUCUUUUGCUGUAAAAAAGCUUGAGGAAGGUGGCUUGAGAUUCGUCUUAAGUGUUUAUAGCCUCUUGCCUAUGCAGUCGGAGAGAUUGAGGUCUGCAGCGUAGAUCCUUCGGGGCUAAAUGCAUUUGUGCUAAGUUAUAGCAUUUUAUAGACAACUUGUUGACUAUGAUUUGUCUUGUAGCUUACUCGCUUAUGUUAUUUUACCUACGCUUAGGAUGUUGAAGAUGUAGCACAUCAU